GAUCCUGGCUCAGGACGAACGCUGGCGGCGCGCCUAACACAUGCAAGUCGAACGAGCGAGAGAUAGCUUGCUUUCUCGAGCGAGUGGCGAACGGGUGAGUAACGCGUGAGGAACCUGCCUCAAAGAGGGGGACAACAGUUGGAAACGACUGCUAAUACCGCAUAAGCCCACGACCCGGCAUCGGGUAGAGGGAAAAGGAGAAAUCCGCUUUGAGAUGGCCUCGCGUCCGAUUAGCUAGUUGGUG
rnacentral:rRNA from 1 species